rnacentral:lncRNA from 10 species
CUUCGCUGACUCUCUUUUCGGACUCAGCCCGCCUGCACCCAGGUGAAAUAAACAGCCUUGUUGCUCACACAAAGCCUGUUUGGUGGUCUCAUCUCACGGACGUGCAUGAAAGAAGGGAAUGGAAGGCUUCUACCAAGUCCCUACAUGAUCAGGAACAAGAUAAUACAGGGAUGAAGAAGCCAGACAUCUGAUCCCAAAGAGCCAACAGAAAGGAAUGGAGAGAGAAAUGGUCAUCCCCUCAAAGGAAGGACAAGUUUGGAAUUCUGUGGUUAUUUCUGCCUGGUUGGGACUGAAUGAUGUGAGCUGAUGGUCACCAAGGAAAUCUUUACAGGGAGGUAAUGAAUUGGGAAAUAAGACAAGAACUAAGGCAGACAAGAAAUCUAAGUAUCACCUACAUAAUCGAUAGAGAUUGAUUGUUCACAUCACUUGUGAUCUCAAGCGAUCUCUAUGGAAUCAGUUGCAUUAUCUGCCACAAAUCAUCAUGUCAGCAGGGUUUUCAUUCUCAGUCAAAAUUACAGACUUCUUACCUAUUUGUGGGGAAAGUGAACACAGGAGUGUGCUGAUGAGUUUCAAAGCUGAACACAUUGAUUCAUUUCCAGGGAAGAAAAAGCAGCUACCUGGUGAUUACCACAGAGGGGAUUUCGAUCAGCAUGGUGAGAGGAGUGAUUGCAUUUCCUCCGCAUCCACUCAGUCUUCCCUUUGGCUUUUGAGAUAUGCAGAGGACUGAAAGGGCACAUGGGAGCACACACUUCCCAGUUGUUUUGUGGAGACAUGUGACGAAUUCUGGCCAAUAAGCUAUGGGAAAACAUGCCUCAAUAGCAUUUGUUUCUGAGAUACUUGCUGCAUUACUAGAAAAUAACAGCUGGAGCAUCAAGAACAGAGAACUUAACACCCAAGGACGACACUGUGACCAUCUGUGUUGGUGAAUACGUUCCUAGGGGUAGACUCUGGAUGAAACAAGGUGACUCCAAGAGCAAAGCUUAGAAUACCUGAAUACCUGCAAGCAAGACAAGUAGAUUAAGUCCUGACAGAAAAGUAUACGCGGGCCCAAGCUAUUUUUAGCCUCUGUGGACAGCUCCAUAGGGAGAAUGAACUAUUCGUCAACGUCACCCAUAUUUUACUGAAGAUUUUGAAGGUAUUCCAAUGUGACUGACUACUACGUUUCCUCACAUGUGUGCUGCUGUAUCUGAGAUCACCAUGUUUUCAAUUAUCUCAUAUGAACCUGUUUCUGUUCAGAAAAAAUCCUUCCCUGGUGAUCCUAUUGUGGUAGACAUAAAACUGUGCCACCCAGAUCCCAUUCCAGGGAAGAAUAUGCUGCUGAGCUGUUGGAAGUACAAUCAGUGGAAAACCUUGGUCUGUCAGCAACUUCAAGGUUUGCCUCCUUUGCAGAAAUGGUCCAUUCAAAGUCAUGCCCUUCCUAUAGCAGUCUACAUUCAACCACUGAGUGAGGCAGAAAUAAAAAAGUGCUGAUAAUUUUCAACCUACAAGGGCAUUAAUGAGCAAUACCUGCUCCAGAGCUCCACAGUGGGUUCUCAGAAGAUGUGUCUUGCCUGCAGCACAGCUUGACUCCUU